ensembl:lncRNA
CGGCUCUUUCUGUCUGUGCCCUGGGAGGCGCAGCCUGGUUCUGCCCUGAUCCAAACUCUGGUUCCUGGAGGAGGGGGUCUUCAGUGCGCCACGCACCCACACCCUGUGGAAGCCUGCAGGGAUCCAUCUGCGCAUGCAUUUGCCCCACAUGGCGGGAGACCCACGCUGGGGGCACGGGUGCUGUGCCCCUGGUCUUCAGCAGCACCUGAGUGCAAGGAUCCGAGGGCUUUGCGCUGGCCCGAGAUGCACAGGGGUGCACAGGUCCUUCCAGGGCUGGGAACGGAAAACUUCGGAGGCAAUUAGCAGCAGCCGUUGCAGCGCUAGAGGUGUGCCUUUGCAAAUGGACGGAUGAGAAGUGGGGUCCAGCCAGAAGAGUGUGAAGGUGCCUGUGGUGACAGCUCCCCUGGGGGAGACACGUGCACUCUCCGGAGGCGGAGCCGGGCAGGCAGCCCGCUAGUCAAGACUCUCCAGGGGCCACCUCCUGCACGCUGGGGAGAAAACCUCCGACACAGGGCUUGCUUCAGGCAAACUCCAAAGAUGCCAGGGCGAGGGGUGGCUGAGCCUUCCAGGGUGGUGCUGGGGCAGAGCCGAGUGCCCACGUGGGACCCCGUGCGGGGCCCGGAGGGAAGCAAAGGCUGCAGCCGCCCUGGUGCCGAGGCCGUGCCUCGGUCUCAGCCUCCUCCUGCUCCUCCCGCCUCCUGCCCUCAGCCGGACUUCUGGUCCCCACCCCGUACCUACCGGCGGCCCGGCAACGCCCAGCCUCGGUUUUAGGGCCUGUGAAAUGGUCUCAUAGUAACCCUGACUUCGCAGCCAGCCGGGCUGCAAAAUGCGGCUCUUGUCUUCUCUCUGCGCUCCAGGCAGAGGGGCGAACGGCGCCCCGAGAAGGCAGACCCGGGCGGCUCCGGACCGCCGGCAGUUCGACCCUCCCGGCCCGCGCAGGCCGGCGCCCCGCCAGGCCUCCUACCUCGCGGUACUGGAGGCGCGGCCGGCAGGGGGAGCGAGGCGGAAGGGAGCCGCGGCCGGCCAGGACGGAGGGUGGUUCCGAGAGGCGCAGCCGGGGUGGGCGGUGGAGGCAGCGACUCCGCCGCGGGGGAGGCUCGCGCGGCCUCGCGCUUCGAGCUCUUCGGGCCCUUCCAGUCGAGGGCUCCAGGAGGGCCGGGGCAUUGAGCAGCGGGUUGCGGGUUCUGCAGUCGCGCGGCAGAGGCCGCAGAGCGCACCGUUCGCCUGGGCCCCCGGUCCUCCGACCAGGCGAAGCUUCGCCGGCUGUCGGGAUCCCCGGCCGGGAUGCACUUCAGCACCGUCACCAGGGACAUGGAAGGUGAGCCGCCCCGCUGUGUCUACAGGGACCCGCCGGCCAGACCCCCUGCCACUGCUGCCGUGGGGCCCAAGCAAAGAGUGUUGGCAGGGCCCGGGGAACAGAGUGGGUGGAGGGAGCUCUAUCGGGGUGGGCUCCAGGCUUCCAGUGACUCUGGAGCAGAGAAGAAGGGCAGGCAUCCUGCCCAAAGCCUGUGCACCCUCCAGCCUGGGGACCCAAACGCAGAGACGAGCAAGCAGCUAGACUCAGGCCCAGAAUAGGACUAAUGGAAGCCAGGAGGGACAGGAGAGGAGGACCAGAGAAAGGUGGCGGAGGUGGCCACAAGCUGGGAGAGGUGGAGGGAAGGUGGCAGGAGAGGAGAAUGUCACAGAGUCUGGGAACCCGGGAAAACGAGCUAGAGACAGUGGUGAGGGCAGCGGGAGGAAAAGAAAUUGAGAAGAGAGAAAACACAGAAAACUCAAAAGGAAGGUCGGAAAAAAUGAGAGAGAUGAAAAAGAAAUAGAGUGAGAACGAAAAAGAAGAAAGUGAAGGGAAAUUUAAGACAGAAAAUAAAGUCAUAAAAAAGGGAAAAGCUAGAGAAAAUCUCCAGUUUUUAUUUUGUUAAAAAAGAGAGAAAGAAAAAAAAAAUCCUGAAUAACAGGAAAAGACCUACAGAAAUAAGCGGCAAAAGGCAGACUGGAAAGAAAGACGAAGUGAUGAAAAAUGAAGUGGAAAGAAAGGAGAGGGACAGAACUGGAGAAAGAAAGAGGCAGAAAAUACAACAGAAUAAAGAGAAACGAAAGAGAUAGUGGAAGAAGGAAAGAGGAUUAGGAGGGAAAAUUUCAUCGACGAAGACAAAGGUAAAGAAAUAACAAAUUGGAAAAAGCCUGGAGAGAGAAAGGAGAAAUGCAACGCGGGAGGGCGGCAGAGCGAGGGGCGGCGGACGGCCCGGCGCUCUGGGGG